AAAUCUGCCAGCCUAGUUACAGGGCCUUUAAGAAGACCCACAGUAAAAAUUUUGAAAACCCUGUUCUUUUUAGGCCAGGGUA
rnacentral:snRNA from 1 species